GCCUGUUCAACUUCCUGGGGGAACAAGUUCCAUGUACUUCCCACCUGCUGGGGGAAAAAGUAUUACCCCUUGCUUGUUUGACUCUCAAGCUUCUGGAGGAAAGAGGGCUCCCAUGUGACAAUGGUGGAGAAUUCUCACCGGGCUCUGGCUGAUGGAGAAUUUGGCUCCCAGAAGGGAACACUGCAGCAAUUCGGGGAGCCUACUGCAAUGAAUAAUUGAACAAAAAUGAGUAACGGAAGGAAGAGAACGGAAAGUUUUGCAAGGCCAGCCAUAAAUUGUAAGAUGAAACAGUUUAAUCUGGUACAGCUUGAAUGCCACAUUAAUAAGUGAUGGGUUCUGGGGGAUGUAAAUGUAGUAUAUGAUACUCUCAGAAGGCCCUAUGGAGAGCAAAGAGCCGAAGGGAUAUGGUGCCAUUUUAUGAAAAGUGUUGCUUUUUCCCCACGCCCCCAUCGCCAGUCUUCUCUUUGGAAAA